rnacentral:rRNA from 1 species
GACGAACGCUGGCGGCGUGCUAACCCAUGCAAGUCGAACGGAAAGGCCCUGCUUUUGUGGGGUGCUCGAGUGGCGAACGGGUGAGUAACACGUGAGUUACCUGCCCCUGACUUUGGGAUAACUUUAGGAAACUGGGGCUAAUACCGGAUAGGAGCUUCUGCCGCCUGGGGGGGGGUGGAAAGUUUCGGCGGUUGGGGAUGGACUCGCGGCUUAUCAGCUUGUUGGUGGGGUAGUGGCUUACCAAGGCUUUGACGGGUAGCCGGCCUGAGAGGGUGACCGGCCACAUUGGGACUGAGAUACGGCCCAGACUCCUACGGGAGGCAGCAGUGGGGAAUAUUGCACAAUGGGCGGAAGCCUGAUGCAGCAACGCCGCGUGCGGGAUGACGGCCUUCGGGUUGUAAACCGCUUUCGCCUGUGACGAAGCGUGAGUGACGGUAAUGGGUAAAGAAGCACCGGCUAACUACGUG